AAAUAGUACUUUGUAGAGAGAGUUAACAGGGCGUGAAACCGUUAAUUGGCAAACGAAUCGGAGCCACGAAGUCGUUUCGUUGAUAAGUUGGGCCAAGUUCAGUUUAUUAUCUAAAAAAUAAUAGGCGUAUUCUUGGUUCGACCAUCUUUGUAAGCGUACACUGCAACCAGUUAGACGAUUGGCUAUGGGCCCAGUUGUUGAAGAUUAACGCAAGUUGGUUUUUGCAACGAAGUAUUGUUUGUGCAAGUUAGUAGUAGCGCGGUGUUCUUCGGGGCAUUCGUGUUGCUGGACUCGUGCAAGUGAACUAUAGCCAAAUACUGACUGGCACAUUGAAAAUCGCCUCUGUGCGUUUUAUAAAAUGCAGUUUUCUGCAUUAGGGUCUACACAUUUGACCAUAGGGUUUAAGCUCAGCAUUUUUGAAUUUGGACUUGCUUGCUACCAGUGGGGCAACUCCUGGUGCUUGUAUAGCUUCCAUCUAAUCGGGUGUUGACUUGAUUUUAUGUUGUUUGAGUGUGAAACGAUUGGGCUUUAAUGUAAGAGAAUUUGCCAUUGAUUGGCAGUGAGUAGGUCGGCUUUCCGAACGACCCGUCUUGAAACACGGACCAAGGAGUCUAAUUAGGCAUCAAGUCGAUCGGUCUUGAAUAGGCCAGAAUUGUUGGAUUUAUCCGACUAAUUGAAGGCGUAGAGAAAUCAAAUCAUGUGAUCAUUGGAACAAUACCAGUUUUAAUGCGCAACAUGUGCCUGUUCGUAUAGCAAUGUUAGCAAUAACUUGCUGAGCGGAGCAAAGAGAUGCUUGAUUGGUACC
rnacentral:rRNA from 1 species